rnacentral:misc_RNA from 1 species
UUACCUUGUCAGCGACUCACCCAGUCAUGACCUACCGUAUCGCCCUCCUUACGGUUAGCUAAUUACUUCUGGUAAAACCCACUUCCCAUGGUGAUGCGGCGGUGCGGGGGCCACACUCCGGGAACGUAUCGCGACAUGCUGAUCCGCGAUAUGACCUGAUUACCGGCGGGGUCGGACGACUGAGAACCGGACACGGGGGUUUCAGAGACGGAUUACCCCCGCGGGCCGGCGACUCGGGUCCCGACUACAGGCGACGUGUGAGCCCCGUUAGUUAUGAGGAUUUUCCGGGCGUCAUCCCCAUUUUCCUCCGGUUUACGCAGUCCCAUUAGAGUGCCCCUUUCGGCAAUUCAAUGACAAGGGUCGCGCUUCGCCGGGACCCUAACCCAACAUCCACGACACGAAGGGACGACUACUACGCAAAAAAAAAACGGGGCCCACCCCCGGGCCCCGGGGUCUUUACACCCCGUCCAGACACAAGGGGGGGGGCCGCCGCACCGAACCCAACCACGACCGUCGCGCGUAAACCCCGUCACCCGAGUUUUAACCGCGGCGGCGGCCGCGCCACCAAGGCCCGAAGGCAGCCUCCUGGGAUAACACUGACGCUCAUGCACGAAAGCGUGGGGAGCAAAUACUAUCAGAUAGAUACCCUGGUAGUCCACGCCCUAAACGAUGUCAACUAGCUGUUGGGGCCUUCCGGGCCUUGGUAGCGCAGCUAACGCGUGAAGUUGACCGCCUGGGGAGUACGGUCGCAAGAUUAAAACUCAAAGGAAUUGACGGGGACCCGCACAAGCGGUGGAUGAUGUGGAUUAAUUCGAUGCAACGCGAAAAACCUUACCUACCCUUGACAUGUCUGGAAUCCCGAAGAGAUUUGGGAGUGCCUCGUAAGAGAACCGGAACACAGGUGCUGCAUGGCUGUCGUCAGCUCGUGUCGUAGAUGUUGGGGUUAAGUCUCGCAACGAGCGCAACCUUUGUCAUUAGUUGCUACGAAAGGGCACUCUACGAGACUGCCGGUGACCAAACCGGAGGAAGGUGGGGAUGACGCCAAGUCCUCAUGGCCCUUUAGCGGGUAGGCUUCACACGUCAUACAAUGGUCGGGACAGAGGGUCGCUAACCCGCGAGGGGGAGCCAAUCCCAGAAACCCGGAUCGUAGUCCGGAUCGCAGUCUGCAACUCGACUGCGUGAAGUCGAAUCGCUAGUAAUCGCGGAUCAGCAUGUCGCGGUGAAUACGUUCCCGGGUCUUGUACACACCGCCCGCUACACCAUGGGAGUGGGUUUUACCAGAAGUAGUUAGCCUAACCGUAAGGAGGGCGAUUACCACGGUAGGAUUCAUGACUGGGGUGAAGUCGUAAUGAAGGUAA